rnacentral:rRNA from 2 species
GAGUCAUUGGGAUUCUGUUAAACCUAAAGGCGCAAUGAAAGUAAAGGUCCGCCUCGCGCGGACCUAGGGAGGAUGGGCCCGUCCACGGGCGGGCCCCGCACUCCCGGGGCGUCUCGUUCUCAUCGCGAGAAGAGGCGCACCCAGAGCGUACACGCUGGGACCCGAAAGAUGGUGAACUAUGCCUGGUCAGGACGAAGUCAGGGGAAACCCUGAUGGAGGUCCGUAGCGAUUCUGACGUGCAAAUCGAUCGUCGGAACUGGGUAUAGG